GCUAUAUGAUUUAUUCAACCAAAAGUUAUCACGUGUGUACAUAUAUAUUUUUGCAUGGUCCAUUUUUUUUCAAACAUCGCAUACAUGACACAGCAAAAGAUAAGCACGGUUCUUCAUUAGUGCUCAGCAUCUCAGUUCUGAGUUCCGAAACAUUUAUGUAUCCAUUACCUAUUCGGGAAAAAAAACAAUUACAACCAGUGUGUUGCUUAAAAUGAGAAUACAUUUGCCGUUAAUUUUGUAGAGUUGGAGCUGAAUUAAUAAUAAUAACAUGAAUAAUACACAGGACACGAGAAAGAGAGAGAGAGAGAGAGAGGGGGAUGGAGUAUUAGCAGCGUAGCGUAGUCAAAUUAAUCGAAAAAUCAGGACGGUUGGUUACGUGUCGUUUCACCAAUCUCAAAGCAGGCCAGGGUCUUCCCCUGCUGCUGCUCCCCUUUCCCCGGCCAGCCCCCGGCUCCCUCCGCCGCGGCCACCUCGACGUCGGCCGACGAGGUCAGCGCCUGGGCGCGGCGCGCCUGCGCC
rnacentral:lncRNA from 1 species